rnacentral:ncRNA from 2 species
GACGGGCAACACGGGAGUCCCGGGAACGGGGACUGAGAGUGGGCAUCGCCGGCCCUUACCGUCACACCUGAUCCGGGUCAUGCCGGCGAAGGGAGCAGGAUCUAUGACACG